UACGUAGGGUGCGAGCGUUAAUCGGAAUUACUGGGCGUAAAGCGUGCGCAGGCGGCGUUGUAAGACAGGUGUGAAAUCCCCGGGCUUAACCUGGGAACUGCGCUUGUGACUGCAAGGCUGGAGUCUGGCAGAGGGGGGUGGAAUUCCUGGUGUAGCAGUGAAAUGCGUAGAUAUGCGGAGGAACACCGAUGGCGAAGGCAAUCCCCUGGGCCUGCACUGACGCUCAUGCACGAAAGCGUGGGGAGCAAACAGG
rnacentral:rRNA from 1 species